rnacentral:lncRNA from 1 species
AUUACGCUUUCAGUCUCUGGCACAGGUAAAUUACUUCCAGCUCUCCAGUUGAGGUUAGUGGAAGCUUAAGAUCAAUCCUGAGGUCACAUCAAAAGUUCAAGAUAAGAAGAAAAUGAGGACUUCAGGUUACUCAAACGGAGUAAUGGACUUAAAUACAUAGUUUUGUUGCCCAUCAAGCAGAGAUAACCUCUCCCACACACUAACGACCUUGCGCAACACACAGUAUUACAGGGCAGGAGCCAGGCAAGGAGGUCUCCUGUCCCUCAAGCAAACAGCAGAGAAGCCCCCAGCACAGCAUCAGCUCUGCAGUUGUACCCACUGCAAACGAGCGCCUGACUCCUCACUGGACCAACCUGAGCAAGAGAAUUCAGCUUCCACAAUCAGUACGAAAACGUGACAAAUCAGCCUCUACAGACCACCAGGAAACCCACUACUUCAUCAGGUGGGUGCAGCAACAGAAGAAUACGCACUCAGCCUCAAGGAUUCAUUUUUGAAAACCAACUUUCCCUACUUGCUGCAAGGUAACUAACAAACAUACGUGGCAUCCAUCUCUUCUAGGCAUGCUUACAUUUAACUCAAUAACAACAUUCGCUGCUCAGUCAUUUUCCAACAGCAACAAGAAAGCGGUCCAUGUGAAAAAUAAACAGAACAAAGCAGGAACUACCUAUGCUAAGUACACAUCCAAGAAAGCACACGACACCUUCUGCACUGUUAAAACUGCAGUAUUUUUCAAUGAUUCUGCAGCUUCCAAUCUGCCCAACAGCCAUCUCUGAAGCUUAAGUUAAAAUAAAAAUUCUGCUUACUUUAAGGAAGCCACAUUAGCUGCAAUUGCAAAACGUUCAUUUACCUCAUUACGCUACAGGAUCGCUUUCUAAUUAGAUGACCCACAGGCAACCAAGGCGUAUAAAAGUAUCCCUCAUUUUGCAUCUACACUUCGAAAACUAAGAUAAUAAUAACACUAACAGUAAAACUUGUAUGUUCUGUAUCACCUGUUACACAAAGAAAUCAAUUUCUGCAGCUUUUUAUGCAUCAUUACUCAGAC